UUAACAGAAAUGUAUUUGUUCCAUGACCUCUGCACUGCAUGGAGCUGUUCAUUUCCAGUAUCUAUUCAAUAGAACUGUGCUAUUGGCUGUUCUAUGAGCAAAUACAAAACGUUAAAUGGAGGAAUCUUGAAAACAUGAGAGCAGUUUUUUUUUAAACAUUCUGAUGCAGUUCAAACCAUGGCUUGAUGGGCUCUUGGUGGCCCUCUGUUUCCUGUACCGGUGGUAGGUGGACUUGUUACCCACAGAAAAAAAGAAAUGUGUUGAUGCAUUCACAUCCUAUGGACAGUUCUUUCAGGAACUGACAGGAAACAAUGAAAAAGAGAACAGCUCUAACAAUUCUAUGUUGUGAGUAGAAAUGUAUUUUAUCCACUUGGUAGAUACAUUGUAUAUAUUUGAUUACGUUUCAGUAUUCUGUUAAUUAAUAAGGGUUAAAACCUUUAAAUGUCCAUGCUCUGAGGCUUUGGGAGCAGGUCAAAAUGAGAUUCUAGUGAAACCAGGGGACACAUCAGCUGUGACAUUACCCUGGAGGACGAGAUCAUGUGGUUUUCGAGGCAGUGUAUUACACAGGCCUGUUCAGAAGCAAUCUGAGCAUACUGACCAUCUCAGAGAGCGACGUGGGUCUGUACUACUGUGUUGAGCAGAGGGCUAACAUAUUUGAGAUCGGAAGUGGGACCAAGCACUCCCUUAUCAGUGGUGAUCAGCUCUCUACUACUGUUGUUGGAAUGAAGUUGUCAUGGUUUAUCACCUUGAUCAUAGCCCCCAUGUUCUUUGUGCUGGGGUCCGUUCUCGGUGUCUGCCUGUUGACGACCUGAUCCUGACAAAUGUGGAUUCUGGAACAACUUGGUUGAAGCCUGCCAUCUAGUGGACCAAUAUCCAGAAUAGCACAUAAAUUAUGUGAUGGACCUGAGCCCUAGGACCAUGCCCCAGGACUACCUGACAUGAUGACUCCUUGCUGUCCCCAGUCCACCUGACUGUGCUGCUGCUCCAGUUUAAACUAUUCUGCCUUAUUAUUAUUAUUGGUCAUUUAUGAACAUUUGAACAUCUUGACCAUGUUUUGUUAUAAUCUCCACCCGGCACAGCCAGAAGAGGACUGACCACCCCACAUAGCCUGGUUCCUCUCUAGGUGUCUUCCUAGGUUUUGGCCUUUCUAGGGAGUUUUUCCUAGCCACCGUGCUUCUACACCUGCAUUGCUUGCUGUUUGGGGUUUUAGGCUGGGUUUCUGUACAGCACUUUGAGAUAUCAGCUGAUGUACGAAGGGCUAUAUAAAUACAUUUGAUUUUAUUUGAUUUGAUUAGGGUAGAGGACCAAACAUAAUAAAAUUGAAAGAUGACAAAA